AGUGAACGCUGGCGGUAGGCCUAACACAUGCAAGUCGAACGGCAGCACAGUAAGAGCUUGCUCUUACGGGUGGCGAGUGGCGGACGGGUGAGGAAUACAUCGGAAUCUACUUUUUCGUGGGGGAUAACGUAGGGAAACUUACGCUAAUACCGCAUACGACCUACGGGUGAAAGCAGGGGAUCUUCGGACCUUGCGCGAUUGAAUGAGCCGAUGUCGGAUUAGCUAGUUGGCGGGGUAAAGGCCCACCAAGGCGACGAUCCGUAGCUGGUCUGAGAGGAUGAGCAGCCAGACUGGAACUGAGAGACGGUCCAGACUCCUACGGGGGGCAGCAGUGGGGAAUAUUGGACAAUGGGCGCAAGCCUGAUCCAGCCAUACCGCGUGGGUGAAGAAGGCCUUCGGGUUGUAAAGCCCUUUUGUUGGGAAAGAAAAGCAGCAGGUUAAUACCCCGCUGUUCUGACGGUACCCAAAGAAUAAGCACCGGCUAACUUCGUG
rnacentral:rRNA from 1 species